rnacentral:rRNA from 1 species
GGAUGAAGGCCUUCGGGUUGUAAACUGCGGUAGUAACAUGACAAUGCAAAUGAGUGUGUUACGGAAAGAGGUGGGUAACUACGUGCCAGCACCAGCGGUAAUACGUAGACCUCAAGCGUUAUCCGGAUUUAUUGGGCGUAAAGAGCAUGUAGGAGGUUUCGCGCGUCUUCUGUUAAAGCCCAGAGCCUAACUCUGGAGAUGCAGGAGAUACGGCGAGACUAGAGGGGGUUAGAGGUGCAUGGAACUCACGGUGUAGGGGUGAAAUCCGUUGAUAUCGUGGGGAACACCAAAGGCGAAGGCAGUGCACUGGGACCUUCCUGACUCUGAGAUGCGAAAGCGUGGGGAGCAAAAAGGAUUAGAUACCCCCGUAGUCC